CAAGCAUCGGGCUCGCUCCGUUCC
rnacentral:piRNA from 1 species